AAAAGGCAUGUAAAAUGUUGCAAAAAAAAAAAAAAAAAAAAAAAAAAAAUGGUAACGUUAUACGCGCCUUAA
rfam:Drosophila willistoni strain TSC#14030-0811.24 1099000006866, whole genome shotgun sequence.